UGCAGUCGAGCGGUAGCACAGAGAGCUUGCUCUCGGGUGACGAGCGGCGGACGGGUGAGUAAUGUCUGGGAAACUGCCUGAUGGAGGGGGAUAACUACUGGAAACGGUAGCUAAUACCGCAUAACGUCGCAAGACCAAAGUGGGGGACCUUCGGGCCUCAUGCCAUCAGAUGUGCCCAGAUGGGAUUAGCUAGUAGGUGGGGUAACGGCUCACCUAGGCGACGAUCCCUAGCUGGUCUGAGAGGAUGACCAGCCACACUGGAACUGAGACACGGUCCAGACUCCUACGGGAGGCAGCAGUGGGGAAUAUUGCACAAUGGGCGCAAGCCUGAUGCAGCCAUGCCGCGUGUGUGAAGAAGGCCUUCGGGUUGUAAAGCACUUUCAGCGGGGAGGAAGGCGUUAAGGUUAAUAACCUUGUCGAUUGACGUUACCCGCAGAAGAAGCACCGGCUAACUCCGUGCCAGCAGCCGCGGUAAUACGGAGGGUGCAAGCGUUAAUCGGAAUUACUGGGCGUAAAGCGCACGCAGGCGGUCUGUCAAGUCGGAUGUGAAAUCCCCGGGCUCAACCUGGGAACUGCAUUCGAAACUGGCAGGCUAGAGUCUUGUAGAGGGGGGUAGAAUUCCAGGUGUAGCGGUGAAAUGCGUAGAGAUCUGGAGGAAUACCGGUGGCGAAGGCGGCCCCCUGGACAAAGACUGACGCUCAGGUGCGAAAGCGUGGGGAGCAAACAGGAUUAGAUACCCUGGUAGUCCACGCCGUAAACGAUGUCGAUUUGGAGGUUGUGCCCUUGAGGCGUGGCUUCCGGAGCUAACGCGUUAAAUCGACCGCCUGGGGAGUACGGCCGCAAGGUUAAAACUCAAAUGAAUUGACGGGGGCCCGCACAAGCGGUGGAGCAUGUGGUUUAAUUCGAUGCAACGCGAAGAACCUUACCUGGUCUUGACAUCCACAGAACUUUCCAGAGAUGGAUUGGUGCCUUCGGGAACUGUGAGACAGGUGCUGCAUGGCUGUCGUCAGCUCGUGUUGUGAAAUGUUGGGUUAAGUCCCGCAACGAGCGCAACCCUUAUCCUUUGUUGCCAGCGGUCCGGCCGGGAACUCAAAGGAGACUGCCAGUGAUAAACUGGAGGAAGGUGGGGAUGACGUCAAGUCAUCAUGGCCCUUACGACCAGGGCUACACACGUGCUACAAUGGCAUAUACAAAGAGAAGCGACCUCGCGAGAGCAAGCGGACCUCAUAAAGUAUGUCGUAGUCCGGAUUGGAGUCUGCAACUCGACUCCAUGAAGUCGGAAUCGCUAGUAAUCGUAGAUCAGAAUGCUACGGUGAAUACGUUCCCGGGCCUUGUACACACCGCCCGUCACACCAUGGGAGUGGGUUGCAAAAGAAGUAGGUAGCUUAACCUUCGGGAGGGCGCUACC
rnacentral:rRNA from 1 species